GGCUGGUCCGAUGGCAGUGGGUUAUCGGAACUGAUUAACAUUAGUGUCACUAAAGUUGGUAUACCCCCAGACACACUGCUAAAUUUGACUGGCUUAAA
ensembl:misc_RNA Y_RNA Y RNA